rnacentral:rRNA from 1 species
GACGAACGCUGGCGGUGUGCUUAACACAUGCAAGUCGAACGGUAAGGCCCUUUCGGGGGUACACGAGUGGCGAACGGGGGAGUAACACGUGAGUAACCUGCCCUCAUCUCUGGGAUAACAGUCGGAAACGGUUGCUAAUACUGGAGAUGAGCUUGCAAGGCAUCUUGUGGGGUGGAAAGAUUUUUUUGGUUGGGGAUGGACUCGCGGCCUAUCAGCGUGUUGGUGAGGUAGUGGCUCACCAAGGCUUCGACGGGUAGCCGGCCUGAGAGGGCGACCGGCCACAGUGGGACUGGGAUACGGCCCAAACUCCUACGGGUGGCAGCAGUGGGGAAUGUUGCACAAUGGACGUGAGUCUGAUGCAGCAACGCCGCGUGCGGGAUGACGGCCUUCGGGUUGUAAUCCGCUUUCAAUUGUGACGAAGCUUUUUGUGACGGUAGCAGUAGAAGAAGCACCGGCUAACUACGUG